rnacentral:rRNA from 1 species
AAAGGGCUGCAGUAUAUUGACUGUACAAAGGUAGCAUAAUCAAUAGUCUCUUAAUUGGUGACUUGUAUGAAAGAUUGGAUGAAAUAUAAACUGUCUCUUAUUUAUAAUAAGAAAUUAAUUUUUUAAUUAAAAAGUUAAAAUAAAUUUAAAAGACGAGAAGACCCUAUAGAGUUUUAUAUUUUAUUUAAAUAAAGUUAUUUAUAAAAUUACUAAUAAAAUUUAAUUUGAAUAUUUUAUUGGGGUGAUAAAAAAAUAUAAUUAACUUUUUUUAAUUUAUUAACAUAAAUAAUUGAGUAAUUGAUCCAAAAAUUUUGAUUAAAAGAAUAAAUUACCUUAGGGAUAACAGCGUAAUUUUUUUUUUUAGUUCGAAUAAGAAAAAGAGUUUGCGACCUCGAUGUUGGAUUAARAUAAAAUUUAUAUGCAAAAGUAUAAAA